AAUUUGGGUCAGGUCAGAUGAAGGAGUAUGAUGAGAAAGUGCUUGUGGAGAUAUACAAGUCCAUAUUGAUGGCGAAGGCGCAGGGGAAUCUCGUUCAACGCGACACCGCUAGCAAGCUUCCUUCUGGACCAGCUGUUGUAUCUGUCUCUCCGGUUGUUAAGUAAUUUUCAGAAACAAAACAAUUCUCCUUUUUCCUUAUAAUAAAAAGAAUAUUAUAAUUCUUGACAUGUUUGAUAUACCUUUCGAGAUUGCUGAUAGGAAAGUUUGCGAUCUUGAUCUGUAUCAAAACUACAAGUAAAAGAAAAUAAAAGAAUACUAGAAAAAAAAUAAGUAAUAGAUGGUUGAUUGUGGGCCUAAAUAAUAAAGUUUAUUUAAUGUGUUCAUUAUUCAUUUAUGAAGUUUUGUUGAAACUAUUCUGAAAUAUAAAGAUUCGCAUUUACAGCUUUUUUUAUAUAUGGUUCCUUGUUGUACCAUUGAUGCCCUAUGUGUUUUUUUUUUAAUAUUAUGAACAACCCUAUGUUAACCUAUAACUAAUCUCAGUUUGUUUACUGCUUUGUGGAAAAUCGGUUGACCACUUUCCCUGAAUGUAAGUGUUAAUGUGUGUGUUAUUUAAUCAUCGAAUCGUACGGAAAUCUUAUGAGGGUGUUGGUUUGGUAUUUGUUAUUUUCAAGUGGAUAAGUGAUGAGUCUAUAUGAGUCAGCAAGCAUGUAUCAAGAACCUAAAUACCUAAUCAUGUGAACUACCGGGCCUAUACCUUUUCAAUGAAAGCAUCACACAAAAGUAUAUACUACACUAUUAAAAGCAUAAUUAGAUGUUUAUACUACACUAUUAAAAACAUAAUUAGAUGUUCAUCAAUAGUAUAUAAUAACCAAGUAAAUGGGAAACUAUCAGACGACAUGAAGUCCAUUAUCUUUGGCUAAUCUUUAGCGGUCUAUUUUAAUAUAAUGUAAGUUUUAGAAUUUUCACAUGUGUUAAUAAAAUAUAUUAAAUGGUUGUUAUUUCAUGCAUUCUUUUGAAAUUAACUAUUUUUUAUAAUUUUUAACCGAUAAAAUUUUAAUAAACACAACUAUUUUUUUGAAGUUUACAGUAUCAUUGAAUCACUUAUUAAAAAUGUAAAAACAUAUUUUUAAAACAUGAAAUUUAUUUUUUGAAAUUGAGGGAGUAUAUCCAAAGAUGUACAAGAAUGUACAUAAUUAGUAUAUAACAUUCGUUGUAAAAAAAUAAAAAACAUUCAUAUAGAGAGAGUUACUGGACAUGUCGAAAGAAAUGAGUUAUUGGACUUGUCAGAGAAUGAUUCUUUGAAAAUGGACAAUAGUAAGCCUAGGCUUAACUAAUUGGGCUUAAGAAGUUUGAAGCAUACGAAUGGGCCUAAAGGGUAUAUUUUCAUAUUUUCCCGGAUAUCAAAUAGCCUCGGGUUUGGGAAACAGGCUGCAAGAGUCGUGGGAAACGUAAGGGUCAAUGUUUUCUUUAAUCGUAUAGUAUCGACUGUAAACCUAAAGUUACAUGAUGAAGAAAAGUUCAAGUACUAAAGUCUAAAGCACAUGGUUUGAUGCAGCUAUCGAUUCUCGGCAUACGGUACUUUCACUUCUGAUCAAUCUUUCACUUUUAUUUUUCUCCUCGAAGUUGGUAAAAUAUAGAAUAGGGCUAACUCCUAAACAUUUAACUAGGUUCUUGCUUAUGGCCCAAGCAAUCAAAUACAUAUAUAUCAAUUUUAUUUUAAGCUAAAACCCUAAAAGAUAAAGGUACGAUUUAAAACAAAACCACACUAACAGUAAGAUUUAAACUAAAUCAAGAAAAUUAAUGCCUUUGUUUAAAUCAACAUUUAUCCUACUCAAUUAAAUAUCUAAACGAAAACUUACUACUUUGUUUAUAUACUAAUGCCUCUCUAUAAUACAUACGUUAACAUGUGUACUUUUGAAGUAACGUUCAAAUUAUUAAAACCGAGUAUAUAAUUUAUUAACCAGGGAGUUGACCAAAUAACAUAAAGUCCCCGUAGGCGAGUAGUGAACGAACACUCCACCGUUAUUGUGGCACAUGGAGUUUUGUGGUCGGUCCAUAAAAGAAAACAAGUUAUACAAUAUGAAACAUUUGUUUAUUGAUUAUGUAAUCUUGUGUCACGAAUAAUUCAUUACAUUAAAUGAAUGAAUUGUGCAAUUCAUUUUCUAUUAAACUCUUGAAAUAUGUAUACUACAGUUAUACAAUGACAUAUGAACCAUUCAUGAUUUGACCCCCCCAAAAAAAGAACCAUUCGUGAUUGUUACCAAAAUAUGGGUUUACUUGUUGUAUAUUGAUUCGCAUUUGUCUCUUCGAGUGAACAUUGUUUCCUUAUAGAAGCAUUUCUAGUUUCAUACAAUGGGACAUCUCAACUAUAACACUGGGAUAUUAUUUAAAUGUCCAACUAUAAUAUUUAAAUUUAAAGAAGAAGAUGAUGGCUACAAGGUGUUAAGUAGGUUACAUACCUACUGAUUAUAAAAAAAAAAUUUGUUUGGGUUUGAAAGAGGAUGAAGAAGAAUUUUUCCUUGGCUUUAAGUAGGCUGCGUACAUAUAAUAUUACCGACAAUUUUCUUCAUGUGAAUUGCAAUACAAUAAUCCAGUGAUAAAUGAAAAUGUAUGUAAAGAUCACUCAAGAUAUCGUAUACAGUAUAUGACAAUGAUUUGUUAACAGAUUAGUCUCAUCAAAUAUGCAAACUACACAACAAAUUUUAACAUAAUUCCCUAAAUCAAGCCAAGAAAGUGUACCAGCUUGCUUUUAAAAUAUCCUAUUUCUGGUCAAAUAUCCAACAUCCGCUAUAAAAUUGAAGAUUUAGUUAUUUGUGUGCUUUCAGUUCUUAUUUCCCAACACGAACAACAAUAAGUAGACAAAAAAAAUACGGUUCAGAGUUUCACAGGAAAAUAAUGUUCCUUGUAUCUACUACUCAUCCGUCAUAAAUCAUGAAUCAUGGGGUUCACUUGAUCCAAAAAUCUCCACUUUAUUGCAUCAAUAGACAAAUUACUCGUAGUAUAAAGUUUUAAAUGCAUCCCUUGAUAUAUGAAUGUAAUUAAGUUAUAUUGGCACUAAAUUAAUUAGCCCUGGACAUUCGGGUAUUGGGUUCAGUUUCGGGUAAGAACUAUUUGGUUCUGGGUAUAUCGGAUAAAUCAUUCUUAUAUCCAAUAGGUACUUAUGAAAUUUCGGUUUAGUUUGGUUUCGAAUACCCAUUUAAUAUACGAAUCAAAUAUAUAUAUAUAUAUAUAUAUAUAUAUAUAUAUAUUAGUUAACAUGUUAAUUUAAGUGGUCUAAUGGUUAAAUACUUGUAUAAUUGUGAAUCCAACUAGUUUGAGUCACUAAAGUGUUGCUUUAUAAGUAUUUAUUGUAUUUUAAUAUAGAAAUACCAUAUAUAUAAUAAAAGUGAAUACAUAAGUAACAAUGUUUUCACUCUUUUUGUCAAACUCAAGUUCGAGAGUACAUAAACUUGUUUUUUUUCGGAUAUCCGGGUAUCCGUUUGCUUAUCAGUUUGGUUUUGGUUUCAAUUCGGUUAUUCAGGUAUUUGAAAGUUUUGGUCCGGUUUCAGUUCAGUUAUUCGGGUAUUUGAAAGUUUUGGUCCGGUUUCGGUUUCGGAUAAUUUGGUUCGGUUCAGGUUCGGUUUUUUGGUUCCCAUUUUUUUGCAGAACCGAACAAAAACAAACAAAUUAGAUCAUCGUUAAUACACAAACAAAUUUACUUGUUCCAUUUGCAUUAGAACAUCCUUAAUACACAAACACACCACCGCAUAAUUAAUUUCGGUUCAAUAGACCAGACCGGGUUAUCCGGAUGGAUAGUUAGUCAAAGGACGGCGAUGGUUUUGGUGUUUGAAGUGACACAUUAACCGCCUAACAGUAUCAACUAUUUUAGACAAACAGAGUUAAGCACGUAACGUAAUGAAGAUCUAAUUUAUCAAUAGACUAAUGAAUCUUUCAGUCUUUGUUUUGUUUUCGAAUCUGAUUAGUUUAGAAAUGUCUGUGACACUUGUACGGCUAUACCGAUAUAUAUUUCUAACUUAUAAGAAAUGCAUAUAUAUAAUUAAACGACUGAUGUUUGAUUUGGAUUUUGGUUCGCGUUUGGUUUGGAAUUUUCUAAUAUUAGUUCAAGUGCAGAUUCGGAAUUUAGACAUAAACCUUUUAAUCUUUGAAUGAAAAUUGAAGUUUAUAUAAUGUAAGUUCGUAUAAUACAAGAUACUAUUAGAAAACCAUUUUGAAGUAAUUUGAUGUCAAAAUUAAUGAUCUUUACUGCUAAAAUUUGGGUCAGGUCAGAUGAAGGAGUAUGAUGAGAAAGUGCUUGUGGAGAUAUACAAGUCCAUAUUGAUGGCGAAGGCGCAGGGGAAUCUCGUUCAACGCGACACCGCUAGCAAGCUUCCUUCUGGACCAGCUGUUGUAUCUGUCUCUCCGGUUGUUAAGUAAUUUUCAGAAACAAAACAAUUCUCCUUUUUCCUUAUAAUAAAAAGAAUAUUAUAAUUCUUGACAUGUUUGAUAUACCUUUCGAGAUUGCUGAUAGGAAAGUUUGCGAUCUUGAUCUGUAUCAAAACUACAAGUAAAAGAAAAUAAAAGAAUACUAGAAAAAAAAUAAGUAAUAGAUGGUUGAUUGUGGGCCUAAAUAAUAAAGUUUAUUUAAUGUGUUCAUUAUUCAUUUAUGAAGUUUUGUUGAAACUAUUCUGAAAUAUAAAGAUUCGCAUUUACAGCUUUUUUUAUAUAUGGUUCCUUGUUGUACCAUUGAUGCCCU
rnacentral:lncRNA from 1 species